rnacentral:rRNA from 1 species
GCUUACGGCCAUAUCAGCCUGGGUACGCCCGAUCUCGUCUGAUCUCGGAAGCUAAGCAGGGUCGGGCCUGGUUAGUACUUGGAUGGGAGACUUCCUGGGAAUACCAGGUGCUGUAAGCA